UCGGUGCCGCAGCUAACGCAUUAAGUACUCCGCCUGGGAAGUACGCUCGCAAGAGUGAAACUCAAAGGAAUUGACGGUGACCCGCACAAGUAGCGGCGCAUGUGGUUUAAUUCGAAGCAACGCGCAGAACCUUACCUAAGCUUGACAUCCCAAUGACAUCUCCUUAAUCGGAGAGUUCCCUUCGUGGACAUUGGUGACAGGUGGUGCAUGGUUGUCGUCAGCUCGUGUCGUGCGAUGUUGGGUUAAGUCCCGCAACGAGCGCAACCCUUGUCUUUAGUUGCCAUCAUUAAGUUGGGCACUCUAGAGAGACUGCCAGGGAUAACCUGGAGGAAGGUGGGGAUGACGUCAAAUCAUCAUGCCCCUUAUGCUUAGGGCUACACACGUGCUACAAUGGGUAGUACAGAGGGUUGCCAAGCCGUAAGGUGGAGCUAAUCCCUUAAAGCUACUCUCAGUUCGGAUUGUAGGCUGAAACUCGCCUACAUGAAGCUGGAGUUACUAGUAAUCGCAGAUCAGAAUGCUGCGGUGAAUGCGUUCCCGGGUCUUGUACACACCGCCCGUCACACCACGGGAGUUGGAGACGCCCGAAGCCGAUUA
rnacentral:rRNA from 1 species